AAUAAGUGUAGUUUUGCACUAUUAACGUUCAACGUUUAACCGAUAGUCUUAUUUGAAUUUUUUUUUAUGAUUAGUAUUUUUAUUGCUAUUAGAUGAUAAAAUAUGAAUAGUACUUUAUGUGUGAUUAAAUAUUUUUAAUUUUUUCACAAUUUUUUAAAUAAGACGGACGGUUAAACAUUGGGCACGGAUAUCCACAUCUGCACUUAUU
rfam:Oryza sativa (indica cultivar-group) chromosome 2, whole genome shotgun sequence.